UACGUAGGGCGCAAGCGUUAUCCGGAAUUACUGGGCGUAAAGCGUGCGUAGGUGGUUUGUUAAGUCUGUUGUGAAAGCCCCGGGCUCAACCUGGGAAUGGCAUUGGAAACUGGCUCGCUGGAGUGUGGCAGAGGGGGGUGGAAUUCCGCGUGUAGCAGUGAAAUGCGUAGAGAUGCGGAGGAACACCGAUGGCGAAGGCAGCCCCCCUGGGCUAACACUGACGCUCAGGCACGAAAGCGUGGGGAGCAAACAGG
rnacentral:rRNA from 1 species